rnacentral:rRNA from 1 species
AUACGGAGGAUCCGAGCGUUAUCCGGAUUUAUUGGGUUUAAAGGGAGCGUAGGCGGACGCUUAAGUCAGUUGUGAAAGUUUGCGGCUCAACCGUAAAAUUGCAGUUGAUACUGGGUGUCUUGAGUACAGUAGAGGCAGGCGGAAUUUGUGGUGGAGCGGUGGAAUGCUUAGAUAUCACGAAGAACUCCGAUUGCGAAGGCAGCCUGCUGGACUGUAACUGACGCUGAUGCUCGAAAGUGUGGGUAUCAAACAGGAUUAGAUACCCUGGUAGUCCACACAGUAAACGAUGAAUACUCGCUGUUUGCGAUAUACAGUAAGCGGCCAAGCGAAAGCGUUAAGUAUUCCACCUGGGGAGUACGCCGGCAACGGUGAAACUCAAAUGAAUUGACGGGG